rnacentral:rRNA from 1 species
CCUACGGGUGGCUGCAGUGGGGAAUUUUGCGCAAUGGACGAAAGUCUGACGCAGCAACGCCGCGUGGGUGAUGAAGGUCUUCGGAUUGUAAAACCCUGUCGUCGGGGACGAAGGUGGGCUUGUUAACAGCGAGUUUACUUGACGGUACCCGGCGAGGAAGCCCCGGCUAACUCUGUGCCAGCAGCCGCGGUAAUACAGAGGGGGCAAACGUUACUCGGAAUUAUUGGGCGUGAAGGGCGCGUAGGCGGUUGGAAUCCCCGGGCUCAAGCUGGGAACUGCAUCCAGGACUGGAUCGCUGGAGUGCUGGGGAGGGUGGUGGAAUUCCUCGUGUAGCGGUGAAAUGCGUAGAGAUGAGGAGGAACACCAGUGGCGAAGGCGGCCACCUGGACAGUAACUGACGCUGAGGCGCGAAAGUGUGGGGAGCAAACAGGAUUAGAUACCCUUGUAGUC